GGGUAUAGAAGGCAGACCCGGGGAACUGAAACAUCUAAGUACCCGGAGGAAGAGAAAGCAAAUGCGAUUCCCUGAGUAGCGGCGAGCGAAACGGGAUUAGCCCAAACCAAGAGGCUUGCCUCUUGGGGUUGUAGGACACUCUACACGGAGUUACAAAGGAACGAGGUAAAUGAACAGGUCUGGAAAGGCCGGCCAGAGAAGGUAAAAGCCCUGUAGUUGAAACUUCGUUCCCUCCAGAGUGGAUCCUGAGUACGGCG
rnacentral:rRNA from 1 species